rnacentral:lncRNA from 1 species
AUGAACCUGAAGAAGUUGGUGCUGGUGGAGAAAGUGGUGCGGGAGCGUUUUUUGGUUGUAUCAAGCGACGAUUAUUUUGAUAACUGUAAAGAGUAAAUAAUGAAAAUGAACCAUUCACUGGGACAGUUCCUUCUAGAUCGUUGUUUGAAAGAUCGCUAACUUGCAGCGAAGAAACAUUUGUCAAAGACAUGGGAAUGUGGCCAGUC